rnacentral:lncRNA from 1 species
AUUUUAACAAAAACUUGUCUCUCAAAGUCAACAUUUAUGCAUGCAACACGCUGUUUUUCCUUCUUCAGGCCCUGGAAUAGAAUGUCCCUUUGCAAGGUUUUGCUACAAAUAAAAAGUAAUACAAUAUUUUUUACCAAUUCACCCAAGAAGCAUAUUUUGUAACAGCCACUGUGCCACGUAUAAAAAGACCUGGUUUUUGCUAUUCAAGAGCUUGUCCUCUGGUUAAACUGAGUGCUAAGAAGUGCUGGCAGACUGCCGUGAAGGUGAAACAGGAAUACAGAGAAUAGAGAAAUGGGGAAGGGCGUCUGUGUUCGAAACCCAGGUCUGCUCAGGGGUCAAGCAAGUCGGAGUCAGAAAAAGUAAAGUGUUUAACAUCGAGUUUUCAAUAUUUAUUUGUUUACAAUGCGUCACAUUCUGCUCCUAGAUAGGGUUAACCUCUGAAGACCUCAGAUUUCGCUGCUUUUCCUUGCCGUGGAGAGGGAAUAAAACGGGCAUCGUGGCCUCCGCGAUGGGCGCUCGUGCCUGGGUCGAAGGACUGGGGGGCGGAGGAUUUGGAAAGGGAGAAAAAUACGGGCUGGCUUCUUUUUAAAAAAUGUGGGUAGCCUUGCCUGCCCCCGCCGCACUGGAAUUUAUCCUAAACUUACUUUCAUU